CCCCUCUCAGGUUCGCACCUGGAGAGUUUCCAGUACUCUACCAAUCUCAAUUAUGGGAGGGAGAGUCAAGCAGAGGCAUAUUCAUUCCAUUCCUAGCUUGAGCAACGGCUAUUGAGUGGAAGGCAACCUGCUACAAGU